AGGGGGAGGAAGGGAGGGAAGGAGGGAGAGAGAGAGAGAGACAAAGAGAACCAUCAGUCCUUGAAAAUUACAAUUUGCUUCAGAUAGUGAAGAGGAAGGAACUCAGGAUACCCUGCUGGUCUCUUACAGAGACCGAUGAAAGUGCUCUUAAGUUCAUU
rnacentral:lncRNA from 1 species